GAUGAACGCUGGCGGCGUGCCUAAUACAUGCAAGUCGAGCGAACAGACGAGGAGCUUGCUCCUCUGACGUUAGCGGCGGACGGGUGAGUAACACGUGGAUAACCUACCUAUAAGACUGGGAUAAAUUCGGGAAACCGGAGCUAAUACCGGAUAAUAUAUUGAACCGCAUGGUUCAAUAGUGAAAGACGGUUUUGCUGUCACUUAUAGAUGGAUCCGCGCCGCAUUAGCUAGUUGGUAAGGUAACGGCUUACCAAGGAACCGCUGCGUCGCCGACCGGAGAGGGGGAUCGGCCACACGGGAACUGGGAUACGGGCCAGACUCCUACGGGAGGCAGGAGUAGGGAAUCUACCGCAAUGGGCGAAAGCUUGACGGAGCAACGCGGCGUGAGUGAUGAAGGUCUGCGGAUCGUAAAACUAUGUUAUUAGGGAAGAACAAAUGUGUAAGUAACUAUGCACGUCUUGACGGGACCUAAUCAGAAAGCCACGGCUAACUACGU
rnacentral:rRNA from 1 species